rnacentral:rRNA from 1 species
GCAUAUCAAUAAGCGGAGGAAAAGAAACCAACAGGGAUUGCCUCAGUAACGGCGAGUGAAGCGGCAAGAGCUCAAAUUUGAAAUCUGGGGCCUUCGGCUCCCGAGUUGUAAUUUGAAGAGGGUGUUUCGGUUGCGGCCUUGGCCUAAGUUCCUUGGAACAGGACGUCAUGGAGGGUGAGAAUCCCGUACAUGGCUGAAGGCUUGCUUCCAUGUGAAACCCCUUCGAAGAGUCGAGUUGUUUGGGAAUGCAGCUCAAAAUGGGUGGUAAAUUUCAUCUAAAGCUAAAUAUUGGCGGGAGACCGAUAGCGCACAAGUAGAGUGAUCGAAAGAUGAAAAGCACUUUGAAAAGAGAGUUAAACAGUACGUGAAAUUGUUGAAAGGGAAGCGCUUGCAAUCAGACUCGCUUUCGGUUGAUCAGCGACGCCUUCUGGCGCGUGCACUCUGCCGUUUGCGGGCCAGCAUCGGUUGGAGCGGCGGGACAAAGACGGCGGGAAUGUGGCUCCCCUCGGGGAGUGUUAUAGCCCGUCGUGUCAUACCGUCAGCCCUGACCGAGGUCCGCGGUUCGCCUAGGAUGCUGGCUUAAUGGUUGUAAGCGACCCGUCUUGAAACACGGACCAAGGAGUCUAACAUCUAUGCGAGUCUUUGGGUGUAAAACCCAUGGGCGGAAUGAAAGUGAACGGAGGUGGGAGUCCUCGGACGCACCAUCGACCGAUCCUGAUGUUCUCGGAUGGAUUUGAGUAGGAGCAUAGCUGUUGGGACCCGAAAGAUGGUGAACUAUGCCUGAAUAGGGUGAAGCCAGAGGAAACUCUGGUGGAGGCUCGCAGCGGUUCUGACGUGCAAAUCGAUCGUCAAAUUUGGGUAUAGGGGCGAAAGACUAAUCGAACCAUCUAGUAGCUGGUUCCUGCCGAAG